AAUUCCGCGUUGCGAUAACAUGGA
rnacentral:siRNA from 1 species